GGGGCAGCCAUCUGAUCACGCAGGGGGCAAAUACACAGAGGGACACGGGUGCACACCACCCACCCGCCCGGGGGACUCCAGGGCAGCUUGCACAACUCUCUAUUGAAUCUGUCAAUGUUGACUCGCCCUUACUCAUUUACUGGGCUUUAAGAGAAAAGGAGAGAGGAAAAAAAAAUGACAUGUGUGCAGAUUACCCCUCCAAAGGUUCUGAAGGGUGGACCCUCCCGGCCUGUCACUAUCUCAGCCCUCUGUAAGGCCUGAGUCCACAGAUAUUGCUGAAGCUGACGAAGCUCUGGGGGAGAGGAUGUGGUUUUCUUUGUGAGCUCAGCGAGUAAUCUCACUGUGUAAAAUGGUUAUGCUGUUGUACUUAGUUAUUUGCCAAGUAAAAAAAUCAAGUGUAUGUAAUGCCACAGAAGAUCGCAGGCAGCCUGGGGCUCGGACAGCCCUGGAAGUUCUCCGCACGUGGGCUGCACCUCUAGCACUCCGGCGGCAGGGCCUGGCCCCAUCCUGACUGGUAGCAAGCAGCCACAAAGGACACAGGGGGCAUUUAGCUUAAUGUCCUUUGUUACACAGAUGAAGAAAGGGAGGAGAGGAGAGGUCAUGUGCCAGGCCCAUGGUCAGAGAGGAAGCUCAUGUUGUCUAAGAGGUUAAAGCAAGCUAUUUUGGAGACUGGAAGUUCUGGAUUCCAAGGAACCAUGGUAUGUAUAGGAGAAAUGGGAACUGCUCUUACCCACUGGGUUAUGUAAGUGCUAAUUUUCUAUCGCUCUCUCUUAAUUUUGAAAGCAGACCCACUAUGGACCAGCACCCACCUCCUAUAUCCUUCUCCCCCAUAAGGUCCUGAAGGUCUUUUUAGGAAUUCUUUUUCUCUUAGGAACACAGAGCCCUGGCUAGAAAAGGACGCUGUCCCCGAGUUCAGUGAGUUAGGGCAGACUGGCCCAGGGCUCUCACUCUGAGAGGCUCUUACCUCGGCUAGACACCUUAUUCCUACUGAAUGCAGCGGCUGGCUGAUGUCGGUAGGGAUGCAGCCCCAACUCCUGCGCGUGACUCACAGUUCCCAGUAAAGACUCGGGGUCCCCAGGUCCGCCAGUACUCAAGAGCAGGGGGCUGUCAUGGCAAGCUUUGGUCACUGUAUUUGAGCUCUUUCUGUCUGCAAAGCCGUCCUUGGCCGCCUCACAGGAGCACUCCUCCUCCAUGCUCUCGGAGCGCAUGAGGGCCGGCUGGUGAGUGUAACCAUGGGCUGGGCUGGGGGACGAGGCCUGGGACAUGCACUCCUGGGCCCGGAUCUGUAGGAGAUGCUGGGGGCUGGUGUGCUGGUGGUGAUACGAGUCAGCGUUUGGAUAUGGUAAAGCCUGGCGCUCUGUCAUGGUCUGUCCCCCGAGGCUGGGAGCCAGGCUCCCUGCGUCCCCCUGAUUCAUGUGCCGGAACAACUCCUGGUAUUCCUGGUGCUGCUGCUGUUGCUGCUGCCGCUGCCUUUUAACAAGCUGGGCGAACUCUGCCGGGGGCAGCCGGAUGUCCGAGUGGCCGCUGAGCGAAUGCCGGGGAGAGAGCAGUCCCUGGAGGAUGUGGGGUACCUGCUGGUGUCUCGUAUAGUCUGGCGGCGUGGGAGACAGCAGGGCCUGCUGCAGGGCCGACGCCGUGUAGUGCGGUGGCUGCUGGUGUGCACUGGGAGGGAAGGUGGGGAAUUGGUCAAGUGGAGGGACUUUCAGGGCUUGGGCUGGAGGGAACCCCGCUCCUGUUGAAGGGCUGUAGCUGCUGGGGGAACCCCGGGACUGGUCCGAAAACAGGUGGGGGUGUAAAUGCGCCUGGUCGUAGUGAGCAGGGGAGAACCGAUUCACGUUCAAGCUGCAGACACAAAAGGGAGUGAGUACCGGGCAUCUAUGUACCAAGCGUGUUAGACUCCCCUGGGAAACAGCUACUACCCCCUUCUGGGUAGGGAGCCCCCUGGGACAGGGAAGUGGGGUGUGAUGGGAAGACGAGGAUGCAUGUGGCCUCCCAACUCAUCCUCAUUCACUUCUCCAGUAAUUUCCAGGGGACUUAGGGCACUGUGUGGGGGACAGCUCCAGAUCCAGCCUGAAGACAGCCACUUGGCCUACUUGACAGUAUUAUCUGAGCUACCAAGAAGCACCAAGCUCUUAGAGUAACAGUGACAGAGGGGAAAAAAUUGUAAAAAAAAUAAACAAGGAGAACUGGCAUUUUUAGAAAUUCCUCUACCAGGCUGUUUUCUUCUUUGCAGAGAGGAAGGCAGCUCUGGCAUUUUCCUUCUCUGUCUCAUUAGCAGCACUUUGAUCUUGGUCAGUAAACAGGUUUCAAGUUCAUUCCAACCCCACUCCCUUGAUUUUAGAAAGGGUGAGACAAGCCCCCACCGGCCAGACUCACUCUCCUCCACUUCUCUCUCGCCUAGCUAAAGGGCCUUCCUCCCACAUGGAUCACCUAGACAGACGGCCGGUGACUUCAUGCAGCCUCACCUGUGCGCCUCCGCGCUGUCGGCACUCAGCUGCUUGGACAAGGGCCGGUGCCCGUAGCUGAAGGCGGCCAUCAGGUUGGUGCGGUGCUGCAUCUGAAUCUGACUGGCGCUGGGGCUAAUGGAGAUGCUGCGCCCGGCAGAGCCUGCAGCAGUCCCCGGCAUGUUGCUGAGCAUGUCAACGGGCUCCUGUACUUGGAUGGUCACCUGCUGUGACUGGGGGGGCUGCUGUAUGCCCAGGCAGCUUAGGGCCACGUUGGGAGGUGGGGAGCAGCUCUCGGGCUGCUGCUGGUAGACUGCACCGCGGGACGGUAAGCCUGGAAACUGGGAGGGCGAGGCAGCGCCUGGAGAGAGAGGAACCUCGGAGUGACCAAAUACCCUGGGGCACCUGCUGACUGGAAGCAGCAGGAGCUGACGAGGAUGCUCACACCGGACACCAUCUAGAUGAGUACUUUGCAAACUUUAGCAUGUGGAAGACUCAUCUGAAGAACUUGUUCAAACACAGAUUUCUGGGUCUUAUCCACAGAAUUCUGGGUGGGGUCCAGGUGGGGCCCCCAGAAUGUGGAUUUUUCAAUAAAUUGCUCUGAA